UACCUCCUUGUAAUGGUUAACUUUAUAUGUUAACUUACAGGUUGUUUUGGGGUGAGAUAAACAUUUAAAUUGGUGAACUUUGAGAGGAAAAUUAGAAGACAAGUAUCCUCAUUUCCACCUGGAUCCAGUCUUUCUUCCUUAUUACUUUUAUUAACAAUAUCAGUUAAGGUUUAUAUGGAUGUCUUGCUUUGGCCUGUACAAAAAACUACUUUGUAUAUGCCUUAUUUUAUUAAUUUUGCUUCUGAAUUUCAUCAAAUUCUCUGAUCAUAACUCUAUAUUCUUGUAAGGAAUGCUCAGAAUUAUACUAUUUCACUCCAAAUUUUAUUAUUAUUGAGACGAAACUGGGUAUAGAAAGUUGUGGGACCAGUUUGUAAUUUAUUGCUUUAAAAUUUGGUCAAGCCACUCAAAUUCUCUAGCUGUACCUAUGAAAUAGCUUUAAUAUUUCAAUCCCCUGCAUUUUCUUUGAAUAAUAUGGAGUUUGAAUUGAAGUGGUCCUGAAUUUGAGUGCUGCAUAUGCUACUUUUGAGAUAUGUGAUCUUGAGCAAGUUGCUUAAUCACAUUAAACCUCAAUUCUCUCAUCUUUAAAAUAGAAAAAAUAAUAGCUACUUUACAGUGUUGAGAAAAGAAUAAGAUGAAACAGUUUAUUAAAAACAUAGAAGAGUGCUUAAGACAUAAUAAAGUCUACAUAAAUUGUGCCUAUUGUUAUUACUAAUAAAAAAAAAAGAAAUUCUACGUGUCAGGAAUUUGAACAAAUUACAGCUGGAUUUGCAUAUUUCUUCCACAAGAUGUAUGUGGUCCCAUCUGAUAAUAGGGAAUUGGUUGGUAACUGGAAUCUUCUUGGAAACCUCUUAAAUCACAGAUCUUGCACUUGUACUGGGAUAAUCUGGAGUGUGUGCUCCUCUGAGUUUGUUGACCAAAUCACCUACAGGUGAACUCUCCAUAUAUGUAUUUUCCUAGUCAAUUCCUACACUGACCUCAAGCAAACACUGAUCAGCUUUCUGUCAUAAUAGAUGCGAUUUACUUUUUUAGAAUUUAAUAAAACUCAAAUUAUACUGUAUGCAUCCUUUUGUGUCUGGAUUGCUUUUUUUUCUCUGCCUUACAUUGUUGAAUAUAUUCUAGGUAUGUUUUACUAAUUGCUUGGUUGUAUAUUAAUGCAUACUGCAUUUUGUUUAUCCAUUCAACUAUUGAUGGAAAUUGGAGUUGUUUUCAGUUUCUGGUUAUAAAUAAAACAGCUAUGAACAUUUACAUACCAA
rnacentral:lncRNA from 1 species